rnacentral:rRNA from 1 species
CUAUACAUGCAGUCGAGCGGACAGAAGGGAGCUUGCUCCCGGAUGUUAGCGGCGGACGGGUGAGUAACACGUGGGUAACCUGCCUGUAAGACUGGGAUAACUCCGGGAAACCGGAGCUAAUACCGGAUAGUUCCUUGAACCGCAUGGUUCAAGGAUGAAAGACGGUUUCGGCUGUCACUUACAGAUGGACCCGCGGCGCAUUAGCUAGUUGGUGGGGUAAUGGCUCACCAAGGCGACGAUGCGUAGCCGACCUGAGAGGGUGAUCGGCCACACUGGGACUGAGACACGGCCCAGACUCCUACGGGAGGCAGCAGUAGGGAAUCUUCCGCAAUGGACGAAAGUCUGACGGAGCAACGCCGCGUGAGUGAUGAAGGUUUUCGGAUCGUAAAGCUCUGUUGUUAGGGAAGAACAAGUGCGAGAGUAACUGCUCGCACCUUGACGGUACCUAACCAGAAAGCCACGGCUAACUACGUGCCAGCAGCCGCGGUAAUACGUAGGUGGCAAGCGUUGUCCGGAAUUAUUGGGCGUAAAGGGCUCGCAGGCGGUUUCUUAAGUCUGAUGUGAAAGCCCCCGGCUCAACCGGGGAGGGUCAUUGGAAACUGGGAAACUUGAGUGCAGAAGAGGAGAGUGGAAUUCCACGUGUAGCGGUGAAAUGCGUAGAGAUGUGGAGGAACACCAGUGGCGAAGGCGACUCUCUGGUCUGUAACUGACGCUGAGGAGCGAAAGCGUGGGGAGCGAACAGGAUUAGAUACCCUGGUAGUCCACGCCGUAAACGAUGAGUGCUAA